rnacentral:rRNA from 1 species
UGCGUAGGCGGGUUAUUAAGUCAGUGGUGAAAGCUCCAGGCCUAACCUGGAAAUUGCCAUUGAUACUGAUGACCUUGAGUACAUUUGAAGUGGGCGGAAUGUGUCAUGUAGCGGUGAAAUGCUUAGAUAUGACACAGAACACCGAUUGCGUAGGCAGCUCACUAAACUGUAACUGACGCUGAGGCACGAAAGCGUGGGGAGCAAACA